rnacentral:rRNA from 2 species
GACGAACCGUGCGAACGUUGUUCGGAAUCACUGGGCUUAAAGGGAGCGUAGGCGGGCUAUCAAGUCUGGGGUGAAAUCCCGCGGCUCAACCGCGGAACUGCCUCAGAUACUGACGGCCUCGAGGGAGAUAGGGGCAUGCGGAACUGUAGGUGGAGCGGUGAAAUGCGUUGAUAUCUACAGGAACUCCGGUGGCGAAAGCGGCGUGCUGGAUCUCUUCUGACGCUGAGGCUCGAAAGCUAGGGGAGCAAACGGG